CCCGACUUGCUGGCAGAACUUACGCUGCGGCACCCCGGGCACUGUUGCUGCUGCGGUAGGCAGAUGUGAUUCUCCUUGUCACGUGCUCUAUCAGGGAGAAGGCUGAGCAGACCAUCUGGAACCGUUUACAUCAGCUUAAAGCCUUGAAGACAAGGCGGCCCCGCUCCCGGGUUCCUCUGAGGAUUGGAAUUCUAGGCUGCAUGGCUGAGAGGUUGAAGGAGGAGAUUCUCAACAGAGAGAAAAUGGUAGAUAUUUUGGCUGGUCCUGAUGCCUACCGGGACCUUCCCCGGCUGCUGGCUGUUGCUGAGUCGGGCCAGCAAGCUGCCAACGUGCUGCUCUCUCUGGACGAGACCUAUGCUGAUGUCAUGCCAGUCCAGACAAGCGCCAGUGCCACGUCUGCCUUUGUGUCGAUCAUGCGAGGCUGUGACAACAUGUGUAGCUACUGCAUUGUUCCUUUCACCCGGGGCAGGGAGAGGAGUCGGCCUAUUGCCUCCAUUCUAGAGGAAGUGAAGAAGCUUUCUGAGCAGGGGCUGAAAGAAGUCACACUUCUUGGUCAGAAUGUUAAUAGUUUUCGGGACAAUUCAGAGGUCCAGUUCAACAAUGCAGUGCCUACCAAUCUCAGCCGUGGCUUUACCACCAACUAUAAAACCAAGCAAGGAGGACUUCGUUUUGCUCAUCUUCUGGAUCAGGUCUCCAGAGUAGAUCCUGAAAUGAGGAUCCGUUUUACCUCUCCCCAUCCCAAGGAUUUUCCCGAUGAG
rnacentral:sRNA from 1 species